ensembl:piRNA 21ur-4895 ncRNA
UUGGAUGGUUGAAGAAGGAGU